rnacentral:rRNA from 1 species
UGGGGAAUCUUCCGCAAUGGACGAAAGUCUGACGGAGCAACGCCGCGUGAGUGAUGACGGCCUUCGGGUUGUAAAGCUCUGUUAAUCGGGACGAAUGGUUCUUGUGCGAAUAGUGCAAGGAUUUGACGGUACCGGAAUAGAAAGCCACGGCUAACUACGUGCCAGCAGCCGCGGUAAUACGUAGGUGGAAAGCGUUGUCCGGAAUUAUUGGGCGUAAAGCGCGCGCAGGCGGAUUGGUCAGUCUGUCUUAAAAGUUCGGGGCUUAACCCCGUGAUGGGAUGGAAACUGCCAAUCUAGAGUAUCGGAGAGGAAAGUGGAAUUCCUAGUGUAGCGGUGAAAUGCGUAGAUAUUAGGAAGAACACCAGUGGCGAAGGCGACUUUCUGGACGAAAACUGACGCUGAGGCGCGAAAGCCAGGGGAGCGAACGGG